rnacentral:misc_RNA from 1 species
GAUGAAGAACGCAGCGAAAUGCGAUAAGUAAUGUGAAUUGCAGAAUUCAGUGAAUCAUCGAAUCUUUGAACGCACCUUGCGCCCUUUGGCUAUUCUGAAGGGCAUGCCUGUUUGAGUAUCGUGAACACCUCAACUCUCAUGGUCUGCCAUGAUGAGCUUGGACUUUGGGGGUCUUGCUGGCCUACUGUCAGCUCCUCUCAAAUGAAUCAGCUUACCAGUGUUUGGUGGCACCACAGGUGUGAUAACUAUCUACGCUUGUGGUUUUCUGCCAGGUAACCUCCAGUGAUGGAGGUUCGCUGGAGCUCACAAAUGUCUCUCCUCAGCGAGGACAGCUUUUUGAACGUUUGAUCUCAAAUCAGGUAGGACUACCCGCUGAACUUAAGCAUAUCAAAAGCGGAGGA